CAGCCGCCACGGGAAUACGAAGGGUGCAAGCGUUAAUCGGAAUUACUGGGCGUAAAGCGUGCGUAGGCGGUGAGUUAAGUCUGCUGUGAAAUCCCCGGGCUCAACCUGGGAAUGGCAGUGGAUACUGGCUCGCUAGAGUGUGUCAGAGGAUGGUGGAAUUCCCGGUGUAGCGGUGAAAUGCGUAGAGAUCGGGAGGAACAUCAGUGGCGAAGGCGGCCAUCUGGGACAACACUGACGCUGAGGCACGAAAGCGUGGGGAGCAAACAGGAUUAGAUACCCGCGUAGUCCCUGUCUCUUAUAC
rnacentral:rRNA from 1 species